UCUGGUAAUAAUGGCAGAGAGGUCACACCCGUUCCCAUACCGAACACGGAAGUUAAGCUCUCUAGCGCCGAUGGUAGUUGGGACCUUGUCCCUGUGAGAGUAGGACGUUGCCAGGC
rnacentral:rRNA from 4 species